rnacentral:rRNA from 1 species
CUCGUAGGUGGUCCGCCACGUCUGCUGUGAAAUUUCGGGGCUUAACCCCGGACUUGCAGUGGAUACGGGCAGACUAGAGGUAGGUAGGGGAGAAUGGAAUUCCCGGUGUAGCGGUGAAAUGCGCAGAUAUCGGGAGGAACACCGGUGGCGAAGGCGGUUCUCUGGGCCUUACCUGACACUGAGGAGCGAAAGCGUGGGGAGCGAACAGGAUUAGAUACCCUGGUAGUCCACGCCGUAAACGUUGGGCGCUAGGUGUGGGGUCCUUCCACGGAUUCCGUGCCGCAGCUAACGCAUUAAGCGCCCCGCCUGGGGAGUACGGCCGCAAGGCUAAA